AAUCAACGCUGGCGGCGUGCCUAACACAUGCAAGUCGCACGAGAAAGGGCAGCAAUGCCUGAGUACAGUGGCGCACGGGUGAGUAACACGUGAAUGAUCUACCUCCGAGUGGGGAAUAACUGAGAGAAAUCUUAGCUAAUACCGCAUAACACUUACGAGUCAAAGCAGCAAUGCGCUUGGAGAGGAGUUCGCGGCAGAUUAGUUAGUGGCGGGGUAAUGGCCCACCAAGACGAUGAUCUGUAUCCGGCCUGAGGAGGGCGCACGGACACACUGGAACU
rnacentral:rRNA from 1 species